GAUGGGUGGCUGAGUGGUCGAAAGCACCGGUCUUGAAAACCGGCGUGCCCUUGCCGGCACCGUGGGUUCGAAUCCCACCCCAUC
rnacentral:tRNA from 1 species